UUUAUAUUCCGUUUUUUCCUAUAUUCUUUUGUCUUUCUGAUUUUCAUGUUUGUGAUUUCGAGUUCGGAUGACGGGGUUAAAUUUUGUUAGGGCUUUUUUGGAUUCUCUGGAAAAUUGUUUUCUGCUAGAUCCGUGAGGAAAGAACUCUAGAGUUGGCGGUGAAAUCAAAUUUUGUAGAUUCGAUUCUGCAGGCUGCAUCCUUUUCCUGAAAUCAAAUUUCGAUCGAGCCUUGAUUCAGUAUCUCCAUCUAUCAUCGAUUAUCUUAUCACCAUCUUCGCAGACCCAUCGAUUCAGUGCUUGUUUGUGGAAAUGGUGGUCAAUGUUCCAUUUCGACAUUGGGUUUGUGUUAAAAACCCAUGGCACGAAUCUCCAAGGAGAGCUCUCUAUUACCUAGAAACUAUUGUAGGCCAGCAAGUAAUUAUUGCAGUUGCAAUACGUGUCGGAGGAAAUCAAUUAGUUUACCAGCCAUUUGGCGAUUUCGUGCAAGAUUAUCGGAAUAUUUUACCCUUAGGCCAUGUUUUCAUGUGAAAUUAUAGCUUUCAGCUAAAUGCAUGGUUGGACGACAUUGUCUACCAUUCGUUUGUUCGCUGCAGCAACGAAGGUAUUACCAAACCAUGGGAUAUUAUUCUAUUUGUUUCAUCGCACUAUCCACCAUAUAGCCCUCCGUUUUCAUGUGUUCACUUCUGUUUAAGUUCUACAUUUUGUA